rnacentral:rRNA from 1 species
GACGAACGCUGGCGGCGUGCCUAAUACAUGCAAGUUGAGCGCUGAAGGUUGGUCCUUGUACCAACUGGAUGAGCAGCGAACGGGUGAGUAACGCGUGGGGAAUCUGCCUUUGAGCGGGGGACAACAUUUGGAAACGAAUGCUAAUACCGCAUAAAAACUUUAAACACAAGUUUUAAGUUUGAAAGAUGCAAUUGCAUCACUCAAAGAUGAUCCCGCGUUGUAUUAGCUAGUUGGUGAGGUAAAGGCUCACCAAGGCGAUGAUACAUAGCCGACCUGAGAGGGUGAUCGGCCACAUUGGGACUGAGACACGGCCCAAACUCCUACGGGAGGCAGCAGUAGGGAAUCUUCGGCAAUGGACGAAAGUCUGACCGAGCAACGCCGCGUGAGUGAAGAAGGUUUUCGGAUCGUAAAACUCUGUUGGUAGAGAAGAACGUUGGUGAGAGUGGAAAGCUCAUCAAGUGACGGUAACUACACAGAAAGGGACGGCUAACUACGUG